ACCCUAGCUCAGUUGGUAGAGCAUGAGACUCUUAAUCCCAAGGCCAUGGGUUUGAGCCCCACGUUGGGUA